GACGAACGCUGGCGGCGUGCUUAACACAUGCAAGUCGAACGGAAAGGCCCUGCUUUUGUGGGGUGCUCGAGUGGCGAACGGGUGAGUGACACGUGAGUAACCUGCCCUUGACUUUGGGAUAACUUCAGGAAACUGGGGCUAAUACCGGAUAGGAGCUCCUGCUGCAUGGUGGGGGUUGGAAAGUUUCGGCGGUUGGGGAUGGACUCGCGGCUUAUCAGCUUGUUGGUGGGGUAGUGGCUUACCAAGGCUUUGACGGGCAGCCGGCCUGAGAGGGUGACCGGCCACAUUGGGACUGAGAUACGGCCCAGACUCCUACGGGAGGCAGCAGUGGGGAAUAUUGCACAAUGGGCGGAAGCCUGAUGCAGCAACGCCGCGUGCGGGAUGACGGCCUUCGGGUUGUAAACCGCUUUCGCCUGUGACGAAGCGUGAGUGACGGUAAUGGGUAAAGAAGCACCGGCUAACUACGUG
rnacentral:rRNA from 1 species